rnacentral:rRNA from 1 species
GACGAACGCUGGCGGCGUGCUUAACACAUGCAAGUCGAACGGAAAGGCCCUGCUUUUGCCUGGUUUUCGCGUCGCGCAGGGGAGUGAAACAUGUGAGUAUCCUGCCCUUGACUUUGUGAUAACUUCAGGAGAGUGCGAAUACUACCGACUAGCUGCUGCUGCUGCAUGGGGGGGGUUGGAAAGUUUCGGCGGUUGGGGAUGGACUCGCGGUUUAUCAGCUUGUUGGUUGGGUAGUGGCUUAGCAGGGGGUCGAUGGGUAGCCGACCUGUGAGGGUGACCGGCCACAUUGGGACUGAGAUACGGCCCAGACUCCUACGGGGGGCAGCAGUGGGGAAUAUGGCACAAUGGGCGGAAGCCUGAUGCAGCAACGCCGGGUGCGGGAUGACGGCCUUCGGGGGGUAAACCGCUUUCGCCUGAGACGAAGCGUGAGUGACGGUAAUGGGUAAAGAAGCACCGGCUAACUACGUG